GACGAACGCUGGCGGCGUGCUUAACACAUGCAAGUCGAACGGAAAGGCCCUGCUUUUGUGGGGUGCUCGAGUGGCGAACGGGUGAGUAACACGUGAGUAACCUGCCCUUGACUUUGGGAUAACUUCAGGAAACUGGGGCUAAUACCGGAUAGGAGCUCCUGCUGCAUGGUGGGGGUUGGAAAGUUUCGGCGGUUGGGGAUGGACUCGCGGCUUAUCAGCUUGUUGGUGGGGUAGUGGCUUACCAAGGCUUUGACGGGUAGCCGGCCUGAGAGGGUGACCGGACACACUGGGCCUGAGAUACGGCCCAGACUCCUACGGGAGGCAGCAGUGGGGAAUAUUGCACAAUGGGCGGAAGCCUGAUGCAGCAACGCCGCGUGCGGGAUGACGGCCUUCGGGUUGUAAACCGCUUUCGCCUGUGACGAAGCGUGAGUGACGGUAAUGGGUAAAGAAGCACCGGCUAACUACGUG
rnacentral:rRNA from 1 species